GGAGGCUGGGCAGCAGCGGCGCGGCCAUAGGUCGGACUCCUGCGAGCGGCAGUAGGGGGUCGGAGACGGAGCCCGGACUUUUCAAAGUUAAAGAGCUGCAAAUGAAGUUUCACAGAUCCACAGAUGAAGAAAAACAUGUGUCCCCAGAUUAAAAAGAUGUCUUAGUCCAUUUGUGUUGCUGCAAAGGAAUACCUGAGUCUGGCAUUCAUUUUGAAUACAAGUGUAACUUCCUCAUACCAGAAGCAAGUCUCAGUCACCCUAGAUAGUUUCCAGUUCUACAUCACACACAAAUGGCUCAAGCUGGUGGCCAGAGGCUUGAAGAUACAGUAAGAGUUUUAGGAAAAUUGGUGGAAAGAGUGAAGACAGACAGGAAGAAUAAGUCGAGAUGAAAUUUCUGUCAGACUGGAUCAAUGGAUCAGCACAGUGAGCAGAGCCUUCUUAUGAACCUGCAGUGGACAUAACGGUGUGAGUAAAAGGUGUAUUUUUUGGUUUUCAGCCAUUGAGUUUUUAGGCUAUUUAUUAUUGUAGCAUA